rnacentral:tRNA from 1 species
GCAGGGAUAGUCUAGCUGGUCAGGACUACAGCCUUCCAAGCUGUUGACCCGGGUUCAAAUCCCGGUCCCUGCA